CUAUUCGGAUCUUUAGGGCAGAACACGAGACGGUCAACUCGCUGCUCCGCGGACCUGACUGCGUUCUGAGGUAAGGAAAGGAAAAGAAAGCGGGAAACACUGGAAAAAUAAACGAGUUCUUUCCUGUGAAGCCAAGGCCAUCUGCAUCAGGCACAUUGGAAGAUUGGACAUGCUUAAGAAACCUCGAGGCCAACGCUCUGAUAUUCAACAUCAACACCCUUCUUGCUAGUCUAACCUAUCUACAGAAACACAAGAAAAAAAUUUCCAUGUAAAAAAUGGUAAACGGCAGUUGAAGAAUAUCAACAAUUAUUGACAGUGAGACUUUUGAAAGGCUGCAAAUGAAUCAAAAAAAAAAAAAAAAAAAAAGCUAGAGAAGAAAAGAAGCAUCCAUAAUAUAGUCUCAUCUUCCAUAACUCUUACUACCAAAGUGCACGACUCAGGUAAACAACACAGAGAUCAUCUCACACAAGCACAAAGGAAGCAUGAAAAAAGCUGAACCUGAGCAUCAGGAGACCCUCUGAGACUUUGCCCUGGCUGUUCCGCUAACUGCCUAUGUGUGAUGAGUUGUCAAGUCUCCAGGGUCCCUCAACACUUGGAAUAAGGAAAUAGGAUCUUUCCCUCUGAGAGGAAACCCAUCAUGAAUGAAUGAGCUUUUGAUGACAAUGGCACCGGGCUUAAUAAGCAUCGGGAUGAAGCAGAUGAAGAACAGAAUUUGACACAGAACACUGUGGUUAGCAGCUCACAAUUGUUUUAUUUUUUAUUCAGCUCAAUACAUUUCACAGAUAUUUACUGAGAAAUUACUAUCCAUACACAGAAUCAAGAUAAGACUUUUCCGUCUUCAAGAAUUGACUCAUAGGUAAGACAACCACACAAUUUUAAUACAAAACAAAACAUAUUAAAAUAUAUUCAUGACAAAAGAGGUUAAGAAAAAGUAACAUCAGAGAAAUUAAACAAACCUGGUUGAAAAAAUCUGGAAAUAUUUCAUAAGGGACAGCAUUCAAUAAAUGUUC